rnacentral:tRNA from 1 species
CGGGGUGUAGCGCAGUGAGGGUAGCGCGUCUGCUGGCGCGAUGCAGCGGAAGGUCGAAGGUUCAAAUCCUUCCAUCCCGA